AUGGCAUUGGAUACCCAUCACCAUUUCCCUUGUGAUUUUCUAUAUCAGGGUCAAGGAGGAAGGAUGAAGUGGAAGCCAGAUUGAAGAUUUUACCAUCCAAAACCCACAAAGAGAAAACUCCUACUGUGGUCUCCAGAAUUUCCAUUCAGUUGGUUCGCCUGCCAAGUCCAGUGACCAGUACCGCCGCUCCUGAUGGUGGGGAGCAUAUGGUACUGCUGUGAAUAGUUUUGCUCUCACUGCUGUGAAAUCCCACGCCCUCCUACAGAAUGUGUUUGGAGGAGCAAAUGGAGGACCCUGAGGCACAAAGACGUGCCUCAUAGGAGGCACCUGUGCCCACAUAGGAGGACCCUGUGCCCACAAAGAACUGGCUGACAACUAUAGGCAGGUUUCACAUUAAGUGCUGAAGGAGGGAAGGGGCAGACUCCAUGCUGGACGGAUUUGCCACAGUCCUGGUCAUCAGUGAAGCAAGCCAUGGUGCAGCCACACCACUGGCAAAGCCUGAAUGUCACUAUAUAACCUGGAGCCGUGGACCAAAGGCAUUGAGGAGACCAUGAAGAUGUAGCUGCUGAUCUCCUACAAGGGGGGAAUCUUGCUCCUUGGGGGUCACUGAGGAUGUUCAUCAAUUUUCCUCAGUCAGCAACAUGCACCCCAGACUUUCUACGGAGGAGCUCGCCAUUAGUGCUAGAUUUUAACACAAAUGUUAAAUUCUGUAACACCAAUGUACCUGUUUAAAAACUUGAAGCUGACUUGUAACACAUUUGGCAUUUCUCUCCCUCUUAGUUUCUUGACUACAUUAUACUUUCCUGUGACAGCAGGCCCUGGGUCUUUAAUUACCUUGGUCAUGCAUCCCUUCUUCUCUCCAGUUCUAACACAAGGUUUGAGGCCAGGUAGACCAUUAAUAAAUACCUA